rnacentral:rRNA from 2 species
CGCGUAGGCGGUUUUUUAAGUCAGAUGUGUAAUCCCCGAGCUCAACUUGGGAACUGCAUCUGAGACUGGAAGGCUAGAGUACUGGAGAGGGUGGUGGAAUUCCUCGUGUAGCGGUGAAAUGCGUAGAGAUGAGGAGGAACACCAGUGGCGAAGGCGGCCACCUGGACAGUAACUGACGCUGAGGCGCGAAAGUGUGGGUAGCAAACAGGAUUAGAUACCCUGGUAGUCCACGCUGUAAACGAUGAACACUUGGUGUGGAGGGAGUUGACCCCUUCCGUGCCGGAGCUAACGCGUUAAGUGUUCCGCCUGGGGAGUACGGUCGCAAGGCUGAA